rnacentral:rRNA from 1 species
AGUGAACGCUGGCGGUAGGCCUAACACAUGCAAGUCGAACGGCAGCACAGGAGAGCUUGCUCUCUGGGUGGCGAGUGGCGGACGGGUGAGGAAUACAUCGGAAUCUACUCUGUCGUGGGGGAUAACGUAGGGAAACUUACGCUAAUACCGCAUACGACCUACGGGUGAAAGCAGGGGACCUUCGGGCCUUGCGCGAUGGAAUGAGCCGAUGUCGGAUUAGCUAGUUGGCGGGGUAAAGGCCCAACAAGGCGACGAUCCGUAGCUGGUCUGAAAGGAUGAUCAGCCACACUGGAACUGAGACACGGUCCAGACUCCUACGGGAGGCAGCAGUGGGGAAUAUUGGACAAUGGGCGCAAGCCUGAUCCAGCCAUACCGCGUGGGUGAAGAAGGCCUUCGGGUUGUAAAGCCCUUUUGUUGGGAAAGAAAUCCAGCUGGCUAAUACCCGGUUGGGAUGACGGUACCCAAAGAAUAAGCACCGGCUAACUUCGUGCCAGCCGCCGCCGUAA